rnacentral:pre_miRNA from 1 species
UAAUGAUGAUGAUGAUGAUGAUGAUGAUGAUGAUGAUGAUGAUGAUAAUAAUAACAACACAUAAUUAAUUUAUUCAUUAUCAUCAUCACCAUCAUAAGAAUCAUUAUUGUCAUUGUCAUCACCAUCAUCAUCAUCAUCAUCAUCCUCA